AGCUCCAAUAGCGUAUAUUAAAGUUGUUGCGGUUAAAAAGCUCGUAGUUGGAUUUCUGCCGAGGACUGCCGAUCCCCGUUCAGGGUGUUUCGGUCUGACCAAGGCAUCUUUUUGGAUUACGCACUACUCGUAGUCGGAUUCCAAAACUUUUACUUUGAGGAAAUUAGAGUGUUUCAAGCAGGCAUCUGCCUUGAAUACAUUAGCAUGGAAUAAUAAGAUAGGACUUCGGUUCUAUUUUGUUGGUUUCUAGAACUGAAGUAAUGAUUAAUAGGGACAGUCGGGGGCAUUCGUACUUAACUGUCAGAGGUGAAAUUCUUGGAUUUGUUAAAGACGAACUACUGCGAAAGCAUUUGCCAAGGAUGUUUUCA
rnacentral:rRNA from 1 species